rnacentral:rRNA from 1 species
ACGAACGCUGGCGGCGUGCCUAAUACAUGCAAGUCGAACGGUCUUUCUAUGGAAGCUUGCUUCCACUGAGAAGAUAGUGGCGAACGGGUGAGUAACACGUGGGUAACCUGCCCAUAAGAGGGGGAUAACAUCCGGAAACGGGUGCUAAUACCGCAUAGUUUUCUUGAUCGCAUGAUUGAGAAAGGAAAGACGGCCUUUGUGCUGUCGCUUAUGGAUGGACCCGCGGCGUAUUAGUUAGUUGGUGAGGUAAUGGCUCACCAAGACGAUGAUACGUAGCCGACCUGAGAGGGUGAUCGGCCACAUUGGGACUGAGACACGGCCCAAACUCCUACGGGAGGCAGCAGUAGGGAAUCUUCCGCAAUGGACGAAAGUCUGACGGAGCAACGCCGCGUGAGUGAAAAGUAAGGUUUUCGGAUCGUAAAACUCUGUUGUCAGAGAAGAACAAGUUGGAGAGUAACUGCUCCAGCCUUGACGGUAUCUGACCAGAAAGCCACGGCUAACUACGUGCCAGCCGCCGC